AUUGAACGCUGGCGGCAGGCCUAACACAUGCAAGUCGAGCGAGCGGCGGACGGGUGAGUAAUGUCUGGGAAACUGCCUGAUGGAGGGGGAUAACUACUGGAAACGGUAGCUAAUACCGCAUACCCUCAGAUGUGCCCAGAUGGGUUUAGCUAGUAGGUGGGGUAAUGGCUCACCUAGGCGACGAGCCCUCGCGGGUCUGAGAGGAUGACCAGCCAAACGGGAAAUGAGAAAAGGUCCAGACUCCUACGGGAGGCAGCAGUGGGGAAUAUUGGACAAAGGGCGCAAGCCUGAUGCCGCCAUGCCGCGUGUGUGAAGAAGGCCUUCGGGUGGUAAAGCACUUUCAGCGGGGAGGCGUUACCCGCAGAAGAAGCACCGGCUAACUCCGUGCCAGCCGCCGCGGUAAUUC
rnacentral:rRNA from 1 species